rnacentral:lncRNA from 10 species
CUGCAACCUCUGCCUCCCGGGCUCGAGUGAUCCUCCCACCUCAACCUCCCAAGUAGCUGGGACUACAGGCGCACACCAACACAUCCAGCUCAUUUUUGUAUUUUUCAUAGAGAUGGUGUUUCACUAUGUUGUCCAGGCUGGUCUCAGACUCAUUAGCCCAAGCAAUCUGCCCAACUCAGCCUCCCAAAGUGCUGGGAUUACAGGCAUGAGCCACCAUGCCUAGCCUUUAGUCUACUUUUUGUUUCUAUGAAUUUGCCUACUCUUAAGUACCUCAUAUAAGUAGAAUCAUACAAUAUUUGUCCUUUUGUGUCUGGUUGUAUUAGGGUUCUCCAGAGAAAUAGAGCCAAUCGUAGAUAGAUAUAGGCAGAGACAGAAAGAAGGAGAUUUAUUAUGAGGAAUUGGCUCAUGAUCUUAUAGAGGCUAAGAAGUCAGCCGUUUGUAAACUGAAGACCCAAGAAAGCUCUUGUGUAUUUCCAAACUGAGUCUGAACGCCUGAGAACAAGGGGAAUCGAUGGUGUAAAGCCCAGUCCAGAGACAGGAAAAAGACCAACGUCCCCUCAUGCUCAUCCCAGAAUAAACACCCAGCAAAUAUUUAAUGUAUUAAAUACAUGAGACGUUAAUGAGUGACUCUAACAAAUACAAAUCAGAAUCCUUCAUUUUUUGACAUUUGUAUUGAAAGCGCCUAGUUUUUACUUACUAAUUUCUACAAUUUUUUUAUUUUAAAAACUCUUAAAGAAGCAUGUGUAUAUUAUCUGAUGUCGUUUUGCCAAAAAUAAUAAUCUAUUACAAUCCUAUAAUAAGCUAGAUAUUAUCUAAUUAUUCUAUUAGGUUGAAAUAAGCCAAUGUUUGUCAGAAGGAAAAACUGACCCAUGUAAGUGUUUAUUUCAAGGGUUUUUCUUAACUGUGGAUAUCUGAUCUUUGAGAGCUGCUGGUUUUAAUUCUCAUGCAUCCUUCUGAGAAGUCACAUUCUCAGAAGUUAUUUAAUUAUGGAAAAUGAAGAAGCCAUAGGCUUAUAGCAUGAAAUUCUAAACCUUGCCUGUCAUAAAUGUUGCUCAACAAAAGUUUCAUAUUUUGCAAACCAAGUGUUCCUCAGUAACACUCAACUACAUAAGUUAUGCUUGUCAGAGAGCUAAUGGCAUGGAAGAAAGAGGAGAAAAGUAAGGAACAUUUAAUAAUAACUGGAAAUGUACAUUAUUUCAUGUCUUUUUUAAUUCUAUGAUUCUUUUGAGCUGAAAAACUAAAUGUGAAAAAGCAAUCCAAAAAACAGUUUGAAAUAUGUUAAAAGUGAAGACAGAGAUUUAUAUUGCAAUACCCACCUCAGCCUUAACUGCGCUGUCUUCACCACAAUCCUAUAAUUGUCUCAUAAACUCCAAGCAAAGACCAAACGUUGACCACUGCUUUUCUCAGCAAAAAACAUGGGCCCUUAUAGUCAACAUUGUUUCAUCUGCAGCUCUUCCGUAAAACAGGAUUAGCUGUAAGGCAUGAAGAGCUUUUCCAUCUUGAGUCCAUCUGUGCGACUGCCAGAAAGGAGCUUUGUGCAGUUAGAGGGUCAUUCUGU